rnacentral:lncRNA from 1 species
UUAAAUAAUAACUAGCAACGCUUUAAAGUGUUGACAAGAAUAUUCCCGACGGUUGUAAAAUUGUCGAGCAAAGAGUCAAUUAGUAAAUACGUCGGGAUAAAUAUAUUGAUACUUUAAUUUAGCAUUGGAGAAUUUUUAUCAAUAUUUGAUAAAAAUAUAUUUAUUGACGAGACAUAAUCAAGUGUCAACACAUGCCAAAUAUUAAAGACACUACAAUAAAGCAUCGUCUAAAAAGUAUCGUCUAAAACAUAUUUGUUGUAUUGUUGAGGGAGUUC